GAAGAUGCGUCUAAGAAAGAAGCUCUUUUUUUCCCACUAUGGGUUCCAGGACACUAUAUGCUAUGUGAAACUUGCACAGAAUCUUGUCCCUGGAAAAUGGUCAGAAAAAACUGGAAGUGAUUUAAAGGGAGUUCCUGUGCAAGAUUAUGGGAAUGACUGCGGUAUCUUCAUGAUCAUGGCGAGUUAACAAUUGUAGCUUAAACAAAUUACAAGAUUAAAUUGACAAAAUUAUGUACAAAAAAAGUUAUAAAAGUACACAUUCAUUUUAACACAAUUUUAUGCUCUUCACCUAUACUGCAUGACAAAAAUUUUAUUGAAAAUAUUUAUUUUAUAUGCAGUACAUCUGGUAUAUGGCAAUGGAGGCUUAUUUUGAUUUCACUGUGAAGGACAUGCCAGAUCUUAGAAGGUGGUGGUGUAUAGUUCUGAUGGAGAACUUUCAUCUAGAAGAUCACGGGAAAAGAUUUGCACAUUGAACUGAAGACGGGAGACAAACUCUUAAUGGAACUUUUACACCUGUCUUCCGCAUACCAAAGAAAAGAAAAUGUCCAGACCCCACAAAGGAUGGCAAGCCAACCAAGAGAAUCCAGACCUAAAAACAUUAUGAAAUGGGCACAACACAGAAAUGGGUACAUCCAUUGUAUGUACAGAUAAAUGAAUAGUUCCCCAAAAUGUGUGUAUGAACUUUGCUAAACGUGUGUGUGUGCGAUUUAUAUUAAAAAAGAGCUUUAUUUCAGUCUGUUCUAAUUCAAAAUUGGAUCACUUCAGAAAACAUUUGUUAACCUGCAUGUCUGUGUGUAUUACAAGUAAACUUUGAACACUGUCAUCCUAUGAUCAAUUAAACCUGCCAUUUUAACGAUUGAAAUAUUUUGAAUAACACAGAGCCUU